rnacentral:rRNA from 1 species
ACGAACGCUGGCGGCGUGCCUAAUACAUGCAAGUAGAACGCUGAAGAGAGGAGCUUGCUCUUCUUGGAUGAGUUGCGAACGGGUGAGUAACGCGUAGGUAACCUGCCUUGUAGCGGGGGAUAACUAUUGGAAACGAUAGCUAAUACCGCAUAACAAUGGAUGACACAUGUCAUUUAUUUGAAAGGGGCAAUUGUUCCACUACAAGAUGGACCUGCGUUGUAUUAGCUAGUAGGUGAGGUAAUGGCUCACCUAGGCGACGAUACAUAGCCGACCUGAGAGGGUGAUCGGCCACACUGGGACUGAGACACGGCCCAGACUCCUACGGGAGGCAGCAGUAGGGAAUCUUCGGCAAUGGGGGCAACCCUGACCGAGCAACGCCGCGUGAGUGAAGAAGGUUUUCGGAUCGUAAAGCUCUGUUGUAAGUCAAGAACGGGUGUGAGAGUGGAAAGUUCACACUGUGACGGUAGCUUACCAGAAAGGGACGGCUAACUACGUGCCAGCAGCCGCGGUAAUACGUAGGUCCCGAGCGUUGUCCGGAUUUAUUGGGCGUAAAGCGAGCGCAGGCGGUUUGAUAAGUCUGAAGUUAAAGGCUGUGGCUCAACCAUAGUUCGCUUUGGAAACUGUCAAACUUGAGUGCAGAAGGGGAGAGUGGAAUUCCAUGUGUAGCGGUGAAAUGCGUAGAUAUAUGGAGGAACACCGGUGGCGAAAGCGGCUCUCUGGUCUGUAACUGACGCUGAGGCUCGAAAGCGUGGGGAGCGAACAGGAUUAGAUACCCUGGUAGUCCACGCCGUAAACGAUGAGUGCUAGGUGUUGGAUCCUUUCCGGGAUUCAGUGCCGCAGCUAACGCAUUAAGCACUCCGCCUGGGGAGUACGACCGCAAGGUUGAAACUCAAAGGAAUUGACGGGGGCCCGCACAAGCGGUGGAGCAUGUGGUUUAAUUCGAAGCAACGCGAAGAACCUUACCAGGUCUUGACAUCCCGAUGCUAUUUCUAGAGAUAGAAAGUUACUUCGGUACAUCGGUGACAGGUGGUGCAUGGUUGUCGUCAGCUCGUGUCGUGAGAUGUUGGGUUAAGUCCCGCAACGAGCGCAACCCCUAUUGUUAGUUGCCAUCAUUCAGUUGGGCACUCUAGCGAGACUGCCGGUAAUAAACCGGAGGAAGGUGGGGAUGACGUCAAAUCAUCAUGCCCCUUAUGACCUGGGCUACACACGUGCUACAAUGGUUGGUACAACGAGUUGCGAGUCGGUGACGGCGAGCUAAUCUCUUAAAGCCAAUCUCAGUUCGGAUUGUAGGCUGCAACUCGCCUACAUGAAGUCGGAAUCGCUAGUAAUCGCGGAUCAGCACGCCGCGGUGAAUACGUUCCCGGGCCUUGUACACACCGUCCGUCACACCACGAGAGUUUGUAACACCCGAAGUCGGUGAGGUAACCUUUUGGAGCCAGCCGCCUAAGGUGGGACAGAUGAUUGGGGUG